rnacentral:tRNA from 1 species
GGAAGGGUGCCGGAGUGGUUAACGGAACGGUUUGCUAAACCGUGGCCGAGUUUUUCGGCCCGUGGGUUCGAAUCCCACCCCUUCCG